rnacentral:rRNA from 1 species
AGCAGCCGCGGUAAUUCCAGCUCCAAUAGCGUAUAUUAAAGUUGUUGCAGUUAAAAGCUCGUAGUUGAAUUUCGGGAUCAGAUUGUCGGUCGUGCCUCGGUACGCACUGGCAUUAUUGGUUCCUACCUUCUGAAGAACCGCGAUGUCAUUAAUUUGGUGUCGUGGGGAAUCAGGACUGUUACUUUGAAAAAAUUAGAGUGUUUAAAGCAGGCGCACGCUUGAAUACAUUAGCAUGGAAUAAUGAAAUAGGACGUUUGAUUCUAUUUUGUUGGUUUCUAGGAUCGACGUAAUGAUUAAUAGGGAUAGUUGGGGGCAUUAGUAUUCAAUUGCCAGAGGUGAAAUUCUUGGAUUUAUUGAAGACUAACUACUGCGAAAGCAUUUGCCAAGGAUGUUUUCAUUAAUCAAGAACGAAAGUUAGGGGAUCGAAGACGAUCAGAUACCGUCGUAGUCUUAACCAUAAACUAUGCCGACUAGGGAUCGGAUGAUGUUAAUUUUUAAUGA